CCUGAGAGCAGAGGCUCGUUUUCCCGCAGGGAAGUGGCCCUUUGGAGGUGCAGUCUCUUCCCUGAGUAAAAGGCCGAGAUGGCCCCUUGCUGGCAGCUGAUCCCUGAUCCUGCGUCUGGCCCGUCUUUUCGUGCUAACAAGUGUCCGGCAUUGGGGUGAAGAUGAAGUGCUGCUCUCCGCAUCUCUCAGGUCAGGAUCCCUGCCCUGUGCGCGGUCACUGACGAGCCGCCCCUUCCCGUGGCCUCCCGAGGCCCAGCUGGUGCUCUGCCGGGCUGCCUCACCUCCAGGCUCUUCUGCCGAACGCCAGCCUCCCCCUCCCGAGCAGCCAUGCCCGACUCCAUUCCCAGCUGCCCUCACACAGCCACCCGGCAGGACAAGAGGGCACUUGCCCGUCACACCAGGUCCAGUGUCUGCCCUGCCGCCUGCCUUCCCUGAGAUAGUUCUCAGCCCACCUGGGGACAAGGCCCUUUGGACUUGUUUGGAGCUGCUGCAAGCCAUGUGACCUGUGGCAUGGCGGAGAGUCACAUGGGGCUUACCGUUGUGAAGGGGCAGGAACCUCCUCUUCAGGAACCCAGAGAGAGAAGCCCGCAGCUGCUCCUCCUGCAGCAGAGCAAGGGGGACAGGAAGGUCACCUCCAGGAAUGUCCCCUCGGCUGGGCUGGCAGAUCCUGCCCACAGGGACGAAGGACCCAGUGCACAGAUGCCCAUGGGGACAACAUGGAGAUCGCACUUUUGAAGGACCUUGGAGCCAGCUGGCCAGACUGGUGAAGGGACUGGGGGACAUGGAGGGCCCCAGAAAGAGACACCCUCACCCUGUGGACUCUCUGGGGGAGAAACUGGUUGGUCUGUGGAGCCCAGGGCCAAAGCCUCACAGGUGCCCACUGGGGACAAUCGAGGGAGCUCUCUAAGGCUGAGAGGUGCCAGUAAUGUCACACGGGGAGCUGCCACCCCCUGUCACUGAGGACGUGCUGAGGGGUCCCGAUCAGGAUGGUCCCAACCCAGGCGGACAGGUUGGGAAAGGCCCCUCCUCUUCAUCGCCCUCCUCCUAUCCCCCGGGAGGUGGUCACAGGAGCUGAUUCUGAGAACUCCUACACGGCGACGUGGAGAGACCGUCACGUGGAUCACGUCACUCAGCACGGGUUCCCGGACGACCUCCUGGGUCGCUUUGCCUUGUACAAGCCAUAAAUGGGGACACCCCCACCCAGGGGACUUUCCCACGCCACGUGGGAACAUGCUAAUCGGGAGAACGUCAGAGUCACUUGGGAACCUGCUGGCCACAUGCACUGCCUCCUGGUCCCACCUGAGGUGACACGAAUCCUCCUUAGCACACUCCAUUCUGCCACACCCACCCAGACCUGCUGUAUGUGGCCAGACGCCCACGUCAACGGCGCUUUCCCUCCUAUCACAAGUGGGGCUGCAAAGAGUACCCUGGCACAUCGACCCCCGUCCACGGGCACAAGAACUUCUGCAGACAAGGGAUCACGGGCUUCCACCUAACUGUCUCAGGGCUCCACACUUCUGUGGGACAGAGGGGACGGGGGGGGGGGGGGGCAGCAGGGCGAGGCAGGAGGCCUGGCUGUAGUCCAGAUGUGACCUGCUGGGUGACCUUAGACACAUCACUUGCCCUAUCUGGGCCUUGGUUUGUACACACUAUUUUACAUAGUUUUUUUUGUUUGUUUUUUUCCAUGAACCAGAUUCAUGCAAAAAAAAAAAAGUGAAAUUUUCCACUUUGCAUAUAUAACCUUAUAUACACGUGUGUAUAUAUAAAGUUAGAAUGUGACCAGUGUUUUGGUGGGAUUGGAAGAGGUCAGGAAGGUGCUUUCUGAGCAGGUGACGUUUGAACUGAGACCAACAGUGGAGAGAAGAGUGUUCCAGGCAGAGAACAGUAGGUGCAAAGGCCCUGAGGUAGGAGCCAGUUCAGCCUGUGUGGCUGGAAUGGUGGGGCUAGAGAGAGGGACAGGGGUCAGAUGGCACAGAACCCUGAAGCUGCAGGAAGGAGACUUUAUUCUGGGUGGAUCCAUCUGUGUUUCUUGCUCGUUUGAUCCCCAUCCACCCUGGGAACUGGCUUUUCUUGUGGACCUCUGAGUGUGUGCUUCCUUGCUCUGUCUAGGCCACUUCUUGGAGAUAUCGUCACACACUGCGCUGUCCACAGUGGCCCUUUGGCUAUCACCAGCCACUGGCUACCCCAGUGCCCUGCUUCUUUUAAAUAAAAUAAGCUGUUUGUGUA